GCGCGCGAGACAACCCGAGAUGAAACGCGUCUCGGGCGAGUGGGAAGCGCACGGAGGAGAGCAUAUGAUAAAAGGAGCCCCGCAAGAGGUCGCUGCGUUUUAUUUAAGCCGCGCCGGCGUAAUAGAACGGAAAAUUUAGUGUGCUACAAUGGGGAUCAAGUCACUCUUCUUGCUCGCAUUUUCAGCAGUCCUGGCACACGUGGUGCAAGGUCAGUGCGGACCAACGGUGCGCUGCAGCGGCCCCUGCCAGCUAGGCUUGACGUUCCCCACACUGUGCGGAAUCUGCGUUUGCGAGCCCGAGUGUCCGAUCUGUCCAUCCCGGUGCUACUACGAGCGCCGCCGAGCAGGCAUGUGUCCGGCAUGCGCGCCCACCCGCCAUUGCUACAGCUAACUACGUCGCCGGAGUUGUGUUACUCGGAACUGAAUAAAAAGUUUCUGGACG